AUACGGAGGAUCCGAGCGUUAUCCGGAUUUAUUGGGUUUAAAGGGAGCGUAGGCGGAUUAUUAAGUCAGUUGUGAAAGUUUGCGGCUCAACCGUAAAAUUGCAGUUGAUACUGGUAGUCUUGAGUGCAGCAGAGGUAGGCGGAAUCCGUGGUGUAGCGGUGAAAUGCUUAGAUAUCACGAAGAACUCCGAUUGCGAAGGCAGCUUACUGGACUGUAACUGACGCUGAUGCUCGAAAGUGUGGGUAUCAAACAGGAUUAGAUACCCUGGUAGUCCACACAGUAAACGAUGAAUACUCGCUGUUUGCGAUAUACAGCAAGCGGCCAAGCGAAAGCAUUAAGUAUUCCACCUGGGGAGUACGCCGGCAACGGUGAAACUCAAAGGAAUUGACGGGG
rnacentral:rRNA from 1 species